rnacentral:rRNA from 1 species
CACGUAGGGGGCAAGCGUUGUCCGGAAUUAUUGGGCGUAAAGAGCUUGUAGGCGGUUUGUCGCGUCUGCCGUGAAAAUCCGAGGCUCAACCUCGAACUUGCGGUGGGUACGGGCAGACUAGAGUGUGGUAGGGGAGACUGGAAUUCCUGGUGUAGCGGUGAAAUGCGCAGAUAUCAGGAGGAACACCGAUGGCGAAGGCAGGUCUCUGGGCCACUACUGACGCUGAGAAGCGAAAGCAUGGGGAGCGAACAGG